rnacentral:tRNA from 1 species
GCUUUGGUUAGUUCAGUUGGUAGAGCGCUCCACUUGUAAUGGAGAGGUCCCGGGUUCGAUACCCGGACCAGGCG